AGAAUAGAUUUGAGCCAGGGAUGACUUGCCGGCAUGAAAAACAAGAUUUAAUCUUUUCUUAUUGCCGGCUGUUGUCCUUGGCUCAUGCCUGCUCUCU
rfam:Lupinus angustifolius cultivar Tanjil chromosome LG01, whole genome shotgun sequence.